rnacentral:rRNA from 1 species
AACGAACGCUGGCGGCAUGCCUAACACAUGCAAGUCGAACGAGACCUUCGGGUCUAGUGGCGCACGGGUGCGUAACGCGUGGGAACCUGCCUUUAGGUUCGGAAUAACUCAGAGAAAUUUGAGCUAAUACCGGAUAAUGUCUUCGGACCAAAGAUUUAUCGCCCUGAGAUAAGCCCGCGUAGGAUUAGCUAGUUGGUGGGGUAAAGGCUCACCAAGGCGACGAUCCUUAGCUGGUCUGAGAGGAUGAUCAGCCACACUGGGACUGAGACACGGCCCAGACUCCUACGGGAGGCAGCAGUGGGGAAUAUUGGACAAUGGGCGAAAGCCUGAUCCAGCAAUGCCGCGUGAGUGAUGAAGGCCUUCGGGUU